UGGCUUUACCUGAAGACGGUGCGCUAACCGCAAGGAGGCAGCCGGCCACGGUAGGGUCAGCGACUGGGGUGAAGUCGUAACAAGGUAGCCGUAGGUGAACCUGCAGAAGGAAUCA
rnacentral:rRNA from 1 species